rfam:Ixodes scapularis strain Wikel colony gcontig_1108379850148, whole genome shotgun sequence.
GCAGUCGUGGCCGAGCGGUUAAGGCGAUGGACUAGAAAUCCAUUAGGGUCUCCCAACACAGGUUCCAAUCCUGUUGACUGCG